AUUAAAAUCAGUAUAUGAAAUUCAUUGUAUAAAUUAUUUUGAUCACGUGCAACAGGUCAAGUGGAAUCUGUGAUUCCUCCGAUCGUCGGAAUAUACGUCUCCCCCAUCUUCCCCACUCCAUAAGACCCUCUUUCCUCUGUUUUGACCUUUCCUCACAAAAGCUUCUGAACUUUUGUACAAAGUUGGAUAAUUGGUCACUUCACAGAGUCUGCAGAAGCUACUGCGCAGAAAAACUGAAGCAGCCCUUUCAAAUGACUACUAUGAGUCAGACAUUGCAUGGAUGGACUUGGCUUCAUUUGAAUCCGAGAUGAUAAAGCCACAACUGAUCUGAAACUCUUUGGUGUCAAUCUAAAGCUAUUGGAAGACAAUCUCCCGCUUAACAGAGUUACAAAUUAAAAGAUGUGUCUGCUGCUCCAAUUCGUUUCUUUCAGUGACAUGAAAGGGUCGUUGGUCGGAUUUCACUGAGUAUCAAAACGAAGCUGCAAAAGCAGAAGUUACACGAUGAAGAAUCUGGAGCUGAG